rnacentral:rRNA from 1 species
UACGGAGGGUGCAGGCGUUGCCCGGAAUCACUGGGCGUAAAGCGUACGCAGGCGGCCCGUUAAGUCGGGUGUGAAAGGCCGGGGCUCAACCCCGGAAUUGCGCCCGAUACUGGCGAGCUUGAAUAAGGGAGAGGGAUAGCGGAAUUCCUGGUGUAGAGGUGAAAUUCGUAGAUAUCAGGAGGAACACCAGUUGCGAAAGCGGAUUCCUGGUCCGAUACUGACGCUCAUGUACGAAAGCGUGGGGAGCAAACAGG